rnacentral:rRNA from 1 species
UCUACGGGAGGCAGCAGUAGGGAAUCUUCCGCAAUGGACGAAAGUCUGACGGAGCAACGCCGCGUGAGUGAUGAAGGUUUUCGGAUCGUAAAGCUCUGUUGUUAGGGAAGAACAAGUGCGAGAGUAACUGCUCGCACCUUGACGGUACCUAACCAGAAAGCCACGGCUAACUACGUGCCAGCAGCCGCGGUAAUA